GUGCCAGCAGCCGCGGUAAUUCCAGCUCUAAUAGUGUAUACUAACGUUGCUGAUGUUAAAAAGCUCGUAGUUGGAUUUAAGAUGGAGCUAUUCGUUCCUGCGAUGUUGAUUCGGACUGCUGGCGGGUGGCUUUUCUCUCUCGUUGUGGGUUGAUUCAUGAUCCCAGCGGGGGAGGGGUGCUCGUUGGUGCUGGGUUAGCCGCAGGGAUUGCUUCGUCAAUUUUAUUUUCGAAUUGUUACGGUCCACUUCACUGUGGCACUGUGGCGGUCCGGAAGGUUUACUUUGAAGAAAAUGGAGUGUUCAAAGCAGGCGUCUCGCAGCUGAACACAUUAGCAUGGAAUAAUAAAAUAGGACAUCAGUGGAUUGCUCGCCGGCCUCGUUUUUUCCUUAUGCGUUUUUAUUCUUGUUAGAGGGGAGGGGAGGGUUGUCAUGCAUUUCGGUGUGUGGCGAUUUUUUCUUUUUCUUUAGCAGGAUGGCGUGUAGGGGGCGGGGAUGUCGGGGCAGUUCUGCUUUUUUGUAUGCAUCCCUGUUUUGUUGGUUUUCAGGAGCUGGUGUAAUGAUUAAUAGGGACUGUCGGGGGCAUUAGUAUUGCAUUGUCAGAGGUGAAAUUCUUGGAUUUAUGCAAGACUAACUAGUGCGAAAGCAUUUGCCAAGGAUGUUUUCAUUAAUCAAGAACGAAAGUGAGGGGAUCGAAGACGAUCAGAAACCGUCGUAGUCCUCGCCAUAAACUAUACCGUCUAGGGAUUGGGGGUUGACCUUUAUACAUAGUCUCCUUUAGCACCUUAGGGAAACCAAAGUUUUCGGGUUCAUGGGGGAGUAUGGCCGCAAGACUGAAACUUAAAGAAAUUGACGGAAGGGCACCACCAGAUGUGGAGCAUGCGGCUCAAUUCGACUCAACACGGGGAAACUUAUCAGGUUCGGACACGGUGAGGAUUGACAGAUUGAUAGCUCUUUCUUGAUUCCGUGGGUGGUGGUGCAUGGUCGUUCUUAGUUGGUGGGGUGGCUUGUCUGCUUAAUUGCGAUAACGAACGAGACCUCGGUCUGCUAACUAACAGCGCCCUAUGGCUCGAAAGUGUCGUAGGGUGGUCACUGUUCCUUAGAGAGACUACCGUUGAGAAACGGGGGAAGUGAGGCAAUAACAGGUCCGUUAUGCCCUUAGAUAAUCUGAACCGCACGCGUACUACUAUAGCCAUUUCAACGAGUUUGUCCUGGCCUGGAAGGGUUGGGUAAUCUUUGGAGUAAUGGCUGUGCUGGGGAUCGGUUUUUGUAAUUCUGAACCGUGAACGCGGAAUAUCUCGUAAGUGCAGUUCAUCAGACUGCGCUGAUUACGUCCCUGCCCUUUGUACACACCGCCCGUCGCUCCUACCGAUGAAUGAUCAGGUGAAAUGCUCGGAUGGAGCAGUUGUGGAGUGCCUGCAAGGGUGCUUUGCGACCGCCCCAGAAGAGCAGUAAAUCUUAUUAUUUAGAGGAAGGAGAAGUCGUAACAAGGUUUUCGUAGGUGAACCUGC
rnacentral:rRNA from 1 species